rnacentral:rRNA from 1 species
AUACGAAGGGGGCUAGCGUUGUUCGGAAUUACUGGGCGUAAAGUCGUCUAUGUAGGCGGACAUUUAAGUCAGGGGUGAAAUCCCGGGGCUCAACCUCGGAACUGCCUUUGAUACUGGGUGUCUAGAGUGUGGAAGAGGUAAGUGGAAUUCCGAGUGUAGAGGUGAAAUUCGUAGAUAUUCGGAGGAACACCAGUGGCGAAGGCGGCUUACUGGUCCAUUACUGACGCUGAGGUGCGAAAGCGUGGGGAGC